UACGGAGGGGGCUAGCGUUGUUCGGAAUUACUGGGCGUAAAGCGCGCGUAGGCGGCUUUGUAAGUUAGAGGUGAAAGCCCGAAGCUCAACUUCGGAAUUGCCUUUAAGACUGCAUCGCUAGAAUCGUGGAGAGGUGAGUGGAAUUCCGAGUGUAGAGGUGAAAUUCGUAGAUAUUCGGAAGAACACCAGUGGCGAAGGCGACUCACUGGACACGUAUUGACGCUGAGGUGCGAAAGCGUGGGGAG
rnacentral:rRNA from 1 species